rnacentral:lncRNA from 1 species
CACGUUAAAACAUUCGCAUCCGAUCUUUAUCUGAUAUACAAUCCGUCGCCUUCGUAGUACUUAUUGAUUCAAGUAUACAGUAGACUACGGUUGUAAAUUACCAAAUACGACUACUAUGAGUGAGAUUUACAGUUAUUGUAUAUAUGUAACCUAAAAAUUCACUAAUAAAGUUUACAUUAUUAUUAUUUCUCUCAACAGAAAUCCACGACGGUCAUGAAUAAUUCUACCCUAAUCUUUCUGCUCAUUGUUGGAUUGUGUGCAUCGUGGGCAAAUGGCUUUUGCAUCAUUUGGACCUGCGGCGCAAACAAGUAUUGUUACCGGAGUCAAUGUAGGCCUAAGAGCGACAAGUUGGGGAGCUGUGUGUGGGGCCAUCAGGAUAACCCAUGUCAAAGUGGCCUGUCUUGCAAGUGCAAUCACAAGCUCUGCAAUACUGCAGCAAUAAUUGGAGAGCUGGGAAAUGGUCUUGGCGGACUGGGAAUCCCGGAUCUGGGCAGCGCAAUAUCUUCCUGUUGUCGCUGUGUUUGAAGUCAAAAAGUAACGGACGAAAGUGCCAUUUACACAGUGCUGUAAUUAUCAUUGAUUUGAAAUAAAAUCAAAGUAUCAAAAACUGUGAGCUUUGCGUUUAUUUUACUUUUUAAGACAUG